rnacentral:sRNA from 1 species
GGGGGCGGGACGCGCGGUGGCUACCGACUCCCGGCCCGCCCCGGCCCGCGUGCAGGACCCGGUCGUCCCCUCCUGCUGUCCUGGAGCCCGGACUGAGGCCCGGGGGCGCGGCAGGGCUCCCGGUCCACGCGAGCCAUGGCCCGUCCGCGCCUCGGCUUAGCCCUGCCCUCCGCAGCCGCUUUCGAGUGGCUCCGCCCGCGGCCCAAUUUCCAGGCGACCGUUUCCCGGCGACGGCGGGCGGGGCCGUCUCUGCCGCCCCCCGCCGCGCGCUCCGCGGGCGCCUGCGACGCCCCGCCUCUGGCUCGGGUGCGGGAGCGGGGCCUGCCCGGACUGCGACGCCGCCACAGCUUGGGGCCAGUUCGCCCAGUCAGGGGGAUGGCUCGGUCGGCCUCGGGGGUCGACGAUCCCCCCGGUAGGCGACGUGCCCUGUCCAGGCCUCACUUCCCGCGUCCGCAAAACGGGGUGGAGAACGCAGCCUAAGGCAGAGCCGCGCCAAGGUCCCUCGCUGUCGCCGGGCUCUGGCAGCCUGACCGGGCCUGGGGUCCGAGCGUGCCCGUGGGCCUGCGGGGGUCGCCGCGAUGGACUCGCUGGCAGCGCCCCAGGACCGCCUGGUGGAGCAGCUGCUGUCGCCGCGGACCCAGGCCCAGAGGCGGCUCAAGCGGCCUCGCAGGUCCGCGGCCCCACGGUGGGGCGACGUGCCCUGUCCAGGCCUCACCUCACGCGAUUCCAAAACGCGGCGGAGAAUGCGGCCGUGGGACCCCUCCAGGGGCCCC